GCAGAGUAGGUUUUCACGCGUAAAGUGUCUCGGAAACGGGGAGUUGAGCCGGGAACGAAAAAGUGGUCCAUCAUGCCACUUUGCGGUGUGAGAAUCGCAUCCCGCUGU
rnacentral:ncRNA from 1 species